rfam:Colletotrichum fioriniae PJ7 Scaffold_594.1, whole genome shotgun sequence.
UCCCCGAUAGUCUAAUGGUCAGGAUAUCUGCUUGUCAUUGAGAUUUCAACGGAUUCGCAGGCGAUCUGGGUUCAAUUCCCAGUCGAGGAG